rnacentral:rRNA from 1 species
AUUGAACGCUGGCGGCAGGCCUAACACAUGCAAGUCGAACGGUAACAGGAAGAAGCUUGCUUCUUUGCUGACGAGUGGCGGACGGGUGAGUAAUGUCUGGGAAACUGCCUGAUGGAGGGGGAUAACUACUGGAAACGGUAGCUAAUACCGCAUAACGUCGCAAGACCAAAAAAGGGGGACCUUCGGGCCUCUUGCCAUCGGAUGUGCCCAGAUGGGAUUAGCUAGUAGGUGGGGUAACGGCUCACCUAGGCGACGAUCCCUAGCUGGUCUUAGAGGAUGACCAGCCACACUGGAACUGAGACACGGUCCGGACUCCUACGGGAGGCAGCAGUGGGGAAUAUUGCACAAUGGGCGCAAGCCUGAUGCAGCCAUGCCGCGUGUAUGAAGAA